UGUUGGAACAGUGUCUGAAAUCCCAUCACCCACACCUUUUUGAUGUCUGACUGAAACGUGGGGAUGCUCCAGAUAGUGUCACUAACUUUCUGUAAAUGACAAUCCAGCAAUCACGCUCCCUCUUCAGACAUUGAUCGGUAGAGAAGUCAUUCACAACAGGAGGACAACACCACCUGCUACCAGAGAGCGCCGCUAUCAGGCUGCUGAUGAAGCUGCUUUCUCGGAAUUAACAGCAUUGCUAAUGCUCAGCUGAUGAGGAGGUGGAACCACAACAACAGAUGAGGGCAUUCAAGGUGUUGCUUAGGUCAGACAAGUCAAUGAAAUACCCACUUUUUGAUUCAACAUCGAUGCUCUUAAUGCCAGUGUUUAAGA